CAGCCGCCGCGGUAAUACGUAGGGUGCGAGCGUUAAUCGGAAUUACUGGGCGUAAAGCGUGCGCAGGCGGUUCGUUAAGACAGAUGUGAAGUCCCCGGGCUUAACCUGGGAACUGCAUUUGUGACUGGCGAGCUAGAGUAUGGCAGAGGGGGGUAGAAUUCCACGUGUAGCAGUGAAAUGCGUACAGAUGUGGAGGAAUACCGAUGGCGAAGGCAGCCCCCUGGGCCAACACUGACGCUCAUGCACGAAAGCGUGGGGAGCAAACAGGAUUAGAUACCCCUGUAGUCCCUGUCUCUUAUAC
rnacentral:rRNA from 1 species